AUCCAUAUGAAAGAAAAGCAUGAGAUGCAAUUACAACAAUGGUCAAUCAAAGAAGGUUUUUGUUUAAAUCUCUCACCACCGUAUCCUUUCCGGUUCACACAGAUUUGUGUCUCUUGCGUCAUGUUUCUGAACCCGACAUCGUUCCUUGGAUUCUUCCCUACUCCAAAUUGCGAUCUUCGUCAGAUAUUCAUGGCUUGAUUGAUGUUUGGUUUUCAGUUUUCUAAAUAUUAGAUUUUAUUGCCUGGAUUUUGAUUUGUGGCGAAAUCUCAUGUUCAUCUUCCGGCUUUUGCAGAAUUUUAUUUCGUUGCAGUAUAUUACACUUAUUGGUCUUUUGAUUCUGCUCUAUGAAUAUCAACAUACAUUGCAGUUUGCUUUUGGGAACAUUACUUAGGUUCUUGGAAACAAGUACCAAAGCAAACGACUUGAAAUAAUUGAAGCCAGUUUUACUGAUGUUGGAGAUUGUCUACUACUCAAGCACAUAUAUCAAAUCGCUUUUUUUUUUGUUUGGUGGUCUCCCUUCACGAGUUCUUGAAGAAAUUGGCAGAUAGUAGCAAAUGGGAACUGAGGAUUGAGAAGUAUGUUAGAGAGCAUGUUAGUAGCACAAGCAAGGGUUCUAUAAGAGAAGCGGAAAUUAAUCAGGGACUGUUAGGUUAGUUAGAUGUUAUUAUAGUAGUUACUUAAUACUAGGAUGAGAUGAACUAUAAAUAAAGGGAAAUCAAAUUAGAGGGACGCAUUAUGUUGCAUUAUAUAUCUCUCAUUAAGUAUUUCCUUUAGUAUUUGAAAUUAUUGUUAAAGUUUGGUAUUGAACAUGUCUUAAGCACAAGAGAAAGUUAUUAUAUAUCUCUCAUUAAGUAUUUCCUUUA